AUGAUUCAAGGCAAGGACUCCUACCCACUAUAUAGGAGACGCAAUGACGGUCGUACUGAAAUGGUCCGAGGUUGCAAACUAGAUAAUAGGUGGGUGGUUCCUUACAACCCCUACCUGCUAAGGAUGUUCAACUGCCACAUAAAUGUUGAGAUAUGCUCAAGCAUUAAAGCCGUUAAGUACCUCUUCAAGUACAUCUACAAGGGUCAUGACCGGGCAUCUGUAUCUGUAACUGACAAAGUAGAUGAAGUCGAAGUCGGCGAGAUUAAACAGUACAGAGACCUGCAGCUACAUCUCCCAAAUAUGCACAUGGUUUCAUACCAUGGCAUGGAAAAAUAA
rnacentral:rRNA from 1 species